AUAUCAGAACUUUGCAGGUGAAGUCUGUCUGGAGGAGUUGGUUGAGACCGUGGAUACAACCAUGUUCUCUUUGUUUAGGCUUUGGAAAGCCACAGAGGAAGAUCUUAAUUAAUAAAAAAAAUGUUAUAGAGGUUUCGUUCAAAGGGUUAAUAAGAUUCUUAUUACAUUUAUGAUCCUGGGACAAGACUGACAGAAUUAUAUCAGUUGUCAAAGUUGCUUAAAGUAUGCAAUAUUGUUUUGUGUGGAGCUACAAGUGUCUGUGGUCCUUGGGAGUAGUCCUUUUUAAUUAAGCUUCAAAAGUAUUUGUUUAAUUAUUUGGCUACAGAUGAUAAGAGCAAGGAAUCCUUUAUUGUGGUAGAUUAGAAAAAGGAGAAUUAAUAGUAGAAUGAAGGUUUAGGUAGUUAGCCUAAAAGAACAAGAAAUGGAUGAAACUUGUUGCUCUUUCUAAGAUGACCCCAUAAAAUGCAGGAUGUGUCCUUGGUUACUUGAAGGUAGUUUGGAAUGACAAAUCACUGGAUUCAGUGAUCAGAUCACUACUGCAUAUGCUUUACCUGUGACAUAUGGACUAACUUCCAAAUGUUCGAGUUCCUUGGGUUUAAAUUAUUGCUUCCAUCUGGCAUAUCCUUUUACCUCACCUGGUUGCCUUAUUUAUUUAAUAAAUGAGUGCAAAAUGAGAUAUACAACAUAAUGGAUGAAAUAAGUUGCCCUUGGAAUUUAUUCACUAGUACUGUAAAACAAAUUUGCACCCAGAUGCCUGAACUGUUGUUGUUGUUUUUUUUUUUUUCCUUUUUUUAAAAUUAUUUUAAAAUCAUGGAUCAAGCAAUGAUUAGAAUGUGAAGCUCUAGGUGGAAGCUGUUAUGCUAAUAAAAUUUAUCCCACUUUAAAGAAAGCUAAUCAUCUUCUGUUUUGUGAGGUUAAUAUUGAUAAUGUUGCUAGUCUUUAACUAUAACCACAUGAACUUGCCUUGUUGUCUGCUAGCAGUUCAAGAUAAAUGUAAUGCUGAAAAUCUUAUAGCUAUUUCUGUAUUUCAUGAAAAAAUUUCUCAGGGUGUGAAGAAUAUCUGGACAAAUGGUUGUGCAUUAGUGUUUUUAUGUAAACAUAAUUAAAACCUCCCUUCUACUUGGAUUGGGAUUUUGAGUCUUAUUUUACUUCAAAUACAUUAAAAGCCACACCUUCAGCAUAUCAAAUUCCACUUUUAUUUGUACUAUUACGGUAUAUGAGAUAUGGACCAAGAAAAGUCAAAUUCCACCUUUAUUUGCAUUACUGUAGUAUAUGAGAUAUGGACCAGGAAAAGGCUAAAAUGCUAUCAAACGGGAAUCCUUAUGAACACAAGGAUAAGGAGUUGUUCAAGGCAUCCUGGUGCUUACAUUUUCCUCUGAUAAAAAAAAAAAAGAAAAAGAAAGAAAAACUGCCAUAUGAUUAAUGUGGUUUCAAUCCUCUUGAAAAUACAGUUUUAGGGCCAGCAAUAGAUAUAACUUCACUAGGAUGACAACAAUCUCCACGGUUUUCUUGCAUUUCUCAUCCAGUAAGUCAUUCAAGCAACAAUAGAGCUUUUUGACCAUUUUCAAGGAUGAGGAAUGGUCAUCUUCCUUGCUUCUUCUUUUGAAGCUUUCCCACAGGGAUGAUUUAAUAACAACAAGAAGGCUUCAUUUAUUUGUUUCUCUAAUAGGUGUUAAUAGGUCUUCUGGGAUCUUCUAGGGCUAGACUUGAAAUAUUACGGUAUUCCAUGAUACCUUUUGACACUUUAUAUGGUCAAACCAUUAUGAUGUAAUCUUUUCAUUUGAUUUCUUUAUGAUUUUACAUCUAUUGGAAGUCCACUAUUAUUUUGUCUAGGAGAAUUCUUGACUUUAUUGUAUUGUGGGACAGUUGGUGAAACUGAAUAUGCAUAAGUUUGAUGCAUUGAUUUGUGAGGUUUUUGAAUGCAUUGGUCUAAGUUGAGAAGGCUCACCAAGGAAUUGGGCAAAUUUUUAUGACCAGACAUCAUGUUGAACAAUUUCAUAACUUUUUUAUACAUGGCACCAUGACAUUUAGGUAUCAAUUAAUUGUAAAGAAUAGCAUGCUUCAUGAUACCAUCUUCUUGAUAAUAUUAAAUGAUAAAGCACCUUUAAAUCUUUCGUAUGCCAUGUUCCUUGUUCUUUGGACUUCCUAUAAUAGCUUUUUUGCUAAUAUAAUUACGCUAACAAACUGAUCAAAAGGGCUGGUAAGCAGUACAACUGUCACUGGUUGGUGCUACAUUGGGAAAUCAGUCAUUAAGCUUGCUUUUUUCUGAGUGCAUGACUAAAUUUUCAUGAAAUAUUUUCUCCUUGGUUCAGCAAAUAGUGUGCAUCUGCCAUAUAACUCUGUACCUGUUUUAUUUCUUUUGUUUGAUGAAUGAUAAUUAUAGUCUUUUCUAACGGGCAUUUUGUUUUAAUUUGUAGUGACUGAUGUCCAUGGGCGGACAUUUGGAAUUUGGACCCUUCUGACCUGCACUCUCUGUUUUCUUUGUGCAUUCAACCUUGAGAAUAAGCCUCUUUAUUUGGCUACUUUUCUAUCAUUCAUUUAUGCCUUUGGUCAUUUUCUCACUGAAUAUUUGAUAUACCAUACAAUGGCUGCAUCAAACCUUAUAACUGUUGGAAUAUUUGCAGGUACCUCACUAUCAUCUUUCCAUCACAUUAGCUAUCAAUUCUGUGUUGAAAUCUAUAAAUCCAUUUCAAACACGUUUUACCUUUUUUUCUCUUUCCAUGAAAUGAUAAAAUUUUGUGUUUCGUGAUGCUUAAAAGCAAACCAACUUAUAGACUUUUAUGUUUUAAGCAAACUAUGGAACUUCAUGUUGAAUUCAUGAUAUAAACAUAUACUCACGGAGAUAUGUUUUAAUCUAUGUUUUAAUCCAUUUUAUGUUUUAAGCAAACCAACUUUAUGUUUUUUAUCCUAUGAAAUUCUUAUUAAGAUAUGCUAAAAACACCUAAUAUCAUCUUAAAAUUUUACACCUUUAAGUUGCCCAACUAUGUCUGUCGAGAACCAUGACAGAUUCUAUUUUCCUUUCUUUAAAAUUUUAAUUAUUGUUUCUUAAGCCUAAAAAGAUAUUAAAUCAGAAAUAUGCACAAUUCCUUGCAUAUACUUCAAUUCUCUAAGCUAAACAUUCUCAAUUGACCUGCAGUAUUUAAUCAUCUGUUGGAAACAUCUAACCUAGAAAUGUAAGAUGAAUAAGUGUUUUCUCUUUUAAAAAAAAAAAUAGUCUUUGGUUAAUCUAGUUGCAGCAAGUUCAGCUUUUGUAGAUCUUAAAAUCCAUCUAUAUUUUUCUUAUUGAUUCUUUAGUUCUUCCUGAAAUGUUUCCAGAUGGGCUAAUCUGUCAUAAAUGAUAUACUAACUUGGCAUGAACUUAACAUCACCAAAUGGUGCCGACAGGCAUCAGCUGCUCAUACUGGCCUAGCAUGAAUUGCCAGCUGGUAUUUGGAUACUCAGUUUUGUUUGAAUCAAUGUAUAUGAUAGAAGCUAAAUGAUAUGAGGCAAAAGGAAUUAUGAGGGUAUGUUUGCAAUUUUUCAUAAGCAUGGAGAUUUUUGAAACCAGGAAUUCUUUGAUCUUAUUUGUGACCUAUUUGAGAAAGGAUUUCUGCUUCAUCUUAAUGCUUGUCCAGCAUCUUGGACAUUUAACUCACCCUGUAACUCUUAUAAAAUUUUAGUGGAUAAAGAGGAUGUCUUUCUUAAUUGAAUACUUCUUAGGAGACAUUCUUAAUCACAUCAAUAUCAAAUUUUGACAUUGAUUUGCAGAAAGUGCACACUUCAUGUUAGUUUUUUAUGGUUACAUAAUCAUGUUAGAUAUAUCUGUACAUCCACAUGCAUGUGAAUGAGUUUGCCAAUUACUAGCAAUCUCAGUACAUGUUCUGCAUGCACAAAUGCAUUAGUUACAGGCGUAGAUAGGUCCUCUACUUGUGUUAGUUACAAGACUAGGUAGAUACUUUAUGGUUGAUUUUGUGCAAAGGAUGGAGUCAUUUUCCUCAUGGUUGCAAUUAACAAGCUGGCUAUGCUGUUGUUAAUGUUGCUAUACCCAUUUGAGCUUCUUUUCCUAGAUUACUAAUAGAUAAAAUGUGAAACAUAUCUCUUAACUUUUGGGUCAUCAAAUCCUCUCUGACAGCUAAAAAAAAAGAAAAGAAGAAGGAUAUUUAAUGUCAGGUGUAUUUUCAGUAUAGGUUCUACAUAUGGAUAUGGUUCUAGAAACUUUCUGAGGGCACCUGAAAAGCACAUAUAUCAAUUCACUGCAGAAUGAGUUUAGGGUAUGCUUAGCCAUUUGCCACAAUAAUAUGCCAUGAUAUGUUCCAAAUAUCACUGUUGAAUGCUAGUUGUUUCAUUUCUCCUUUCACAAGGAUGUAAUUAAAAUUGAUUUGCUAGUUUGUCUUUCUUUCAUUCUUAUGAGUUUUUAUUAGCCAUGAGGUCCAUGACAUCACUACAUCUUGAUUUAGCCUUGAUUAAUAUUGACCUUCAGUAAAGUCUUUUUUUUUCCCCCUUCAAAACCAUGAUCCGUUGGUGACUAGUCAAAGUGCUGAACCAUCCAAAGGCUAGCUUCUCAAUAAGUACCAAAUGUGAAGCAAAUCCCCAACUCAGUUUGAUAUCACCAUUAUGCUUAGGGGUGAGGAAAGAUAGUGUCCAAAAGAAUGCUAUGAAAUGUAGGCCCCAUUUGGCAUUUGUUUUAGAGGGUCAAAAAGUAAAGGGCUAUAAUCUCUUUUGGUGAUUUUAGGUGUUUAGUAGAAAUUUUGAAACAGCUUUCUAGCUCUUCUAGAAGCUGAAAAACAUCUUCUAGAUAAAAGCUCUAAUUUGUAGCUUUUGGGCAAAAGCUUUACUUAAGAUGCAUUGAGAAGUUGUUUUCUCUUGAGAGACCCAGGUUCGGUUACCAAAGGCACUUUCUGAGUUUGAUUACCAAAUGGAUGUUAAAGUCUUAAAGCACUUCAAAAAUGUAGUUACUAAACUUAAAAACUUUUUAUUAAAAGCUCUACUAGCGAAGCUUUACAGAAAAAAGCUCUACUCUCUACAGUAAUACCAAUAGGUCAUGGUGUCUUACAUGCCCCUUUCCCUCAUAAAGAAUCGAAACAAUCUUAUCAUGGCCUCUUUUCAUCCUUUAGUAUUAUUGUACUGACUCAACUCUCCACACUUCAUCCCAUAUCAAGCACUUGUCAGCUAAGACAUUGUACAAAUAUAUUUUGAAACUGCAUUAUGGAGCACAUUAGAGUCUUCACUGUUUGGGCAUAAACUAAAAAAUGCAUAUGUAUGUAUGCAUAAAAUGCCUAACAAGCCAUUUACUGACUUGUUAUUUAUUCAGUUUCCCGUUGUUUUAUAUUUACUGCUAUGGUAUGGACGAGGCAGAAAAUAUUAAGAAGCCAUAACCAAAUUGUACUAGAGGUGAAUCUCCAGUGGUGAGUUUUGCAGCAGAAGGCAUUGUGGCCUAGACCCAGGAAAGAAGAUUAGACUCCAUUCCUCUGAAUGUCUGAAAUUUUGUCCACAAUAAUCCAAGAACAAUCAACUAAGCUUAACUCAUGAGAAAAGAAUACAAGCUUGUGUAAUGUGAAGUGCCAAUAUCCUCUCCUCGAUCCCACUAUUGAUGGGUGCUUCCUCUUAACCAUCUUGCUUAGGCUUUCUGUUAGUGUAAGAGGUAAAAUGCCUGCACACUAAAUGUUAAUUUAAUUAGUAUCUUGUCUUUACUAAACAUGCCAUUAAUGGUGUGGCUAUGUGACAUAAAUUUAAUCAGAACUAAUAUGUUGUAUUGAAUGCUAAACCAACUCAGUUUGGCAUGUAAUAUGAAUUAAAAAUUGAAAAACUAUUUUCCUAUAAAAGUACCAUAUUUAAUGAUAUCAGAAUUGGAUCUUUAAUAAUUGACUCAACUCAGAUUAUCUUCUUUUUUUUUUUCCUUUCCCACUUUCUUCUCUCCACUUGAGUAGAGGUUUCUUGUCCUGAACUAGCUGCCGUUAAGAUCCCCUAUUUGUAUGGGUGUCGUCUGAAAAGUUGCAACGAUUUGUGGCCUAUGGUUUCCUCCAUAGGUUUGCUGUGAUCAUUUCCAGUGAAGAUCUCUUGCAAGAAAUCAUUAGACCUGAAUCAUUUGUGAGAUGCAUCUUUUUCAAGAACAUACAAAAUCAGAGGAAACCUUUACAGACAAUCAUGUAUUAUGUAAACUCAGAUGAAGAUGUAUAAUUAUGAUUCAUGUUGGAGCCAGAACGCCUAGAAAAAAACUACAAUUUGAGGAUUCAUUCAAUGAAGUUUUUUCAUACAUAGAGUUACACAAACAUAUGAUCUCUGAUUUUUAUUUUUGUACUCUGGUGUCUUUAACAUCGUAGGUUAGCCUUUUGCAUUGCUUAUGAAGUUAAUAUCAUACACACCGAUGACUCCAUGCAUUUCCAAUGUUCAAGUUAAUAUUAUAGGCUCGUCCUAUUUGAGUUGAUUUGGAAAUUCAUUUAACAUUGGUUAUCUUUGAGUUCUCAUCCACAAGCAACCUACUUCCAGAUAUGUCGACAACUAUUUUAUAAAAUUAAACUAGAAAUUGAGAUGACCGAUUCAGCAACAAACAGUGGGCUGGACAGGAGACUCUGUAUUCUCUGCUGUUCUUGCAUAACAGUUCAUUAUAUGUACUCAGUUCUGUUGGAUAUUCUCUCAAAUCAGUAUCUAUGCCUCCAUGAUGAUUUUAUUUGUUGUUUUAGCUUGUUACAUUGUCCUUCUCAUCUUUUUUAUCUAGUGACAUUGUCUUUCUUAUUCAUUUAGGUACAUCAAUUGUGUGGAUGUUGUUACAGUGGAAUGCGCAUCAACCUCGGACAACUUCAAAGCUGGAAUGAACCAUUUUCAUAUGAUGCAAAUGUACUCAGAUACCAAUUAAUGUUAUUCUCUCUGUUAGGCAGCAAACUCGCAUUUGCCAAGAAGAUUAUCAUCAUGAACUCUUCCUUGACAUGGGUUUCAGAUAUGUAUUCCCGUAGAAUUUUCCUAAAAGGUCCAUAAGACCUUUUUGAUUGAUGCUGGCAUAAAUUUUUGCAUUCAUUUUAAAAAUUAGUAUAUGACAUCCAGAAUAUAAGAGGCAAAGGACACAUGAAUCAACAAAAGUAAUUUUGAAUCAAGAGCAGCAUAUUCGAUUAAAACUGAUCUUUAUUUUUAAAAGACACUUUUAAUCUUAAUCCUGCUGUUGAUUCAAAUUUAGUUUUGUUAUUUGGUGCACCGUGGCCCUCUUGUAGUGUGGAUGUGAGCUUGUCUUACUUGAAUCAGAUAGCUUGCAAGUCUCUCACAUCAUACUUAGCUAUAGCAUCCAUAUUUUCUUUAUAUAGUCAUGCAAUUAGCAACUUAUUAUCUUUAACAUAAUCUUAUAAUCAUCAAAUACGUUGGCAACCUGUGAAACGCUUCUCAAGUCCUCUUGUUUUUUUUUUUCUGUAGAGCCUUCUUGUUUAUGUUUGUGCCAUGUAACCGAUCCAUCUUCAUGGGAUGUGAUUUGGUUAUUGUCAUUAUCACCAGUAUUAAUGAUUAUGAAGGUUCUCAUAUAUGACAAAAUUCAAAGCAUGCGAUGAUGGUCGAUCAUGUCAUGAAACUAGGUGUUGCUUAGAUCAAAGGUAUUUAUAUCUUACACAUGAUGUGAUUUUUUUUGAUUGAGGUAAGUAGUCCUUUCCAUCUUAUCGCUGUUUUUGAUUUGGUAAAGAGAAAAUGGAUGUUUAACUCAUGCUGAAUGCGUGAGAGGUGUCAUUACCCAUUAUUUUUUGUGGUAAGGAGGCAUUCUUUGUAAUUCUGGAGAAUCUCCCACUGAUAUGGUUUUGCUUUUGUCUCAUCGACUGAAUUAUCUAAUCUUUAAACUUCAUAAACAGCAUUCCAAGCUUUUGAUCGAUAGUAAUUUCUGGAAUUAUGUCGGUACUGAACCAAAGCUUGAUACACUCAUUAGUAUGGUCUUUUUUUUUGGAAAACACCACUUAUUUAGUUUCUCAGAGACUUUCUAUUUAGUUUUUUUGGUCUCUGGUCCAAGUGUAAUCAACAUCAUCUUUCUUUGGAUAGCUUGCAUUCUCUCAAACAUUAUCCUUCGCAUUUCUGUUUAGUUAUCUGUUGUCCCAGUAUAAUCAACAUCAUCUUUCCUUGGAAUAGUCUGCCCUCUCAAAUGUUAUCCUUCACACCUUGCAAGCGUAAAAUGAUGCACCGUUCUGUCCAAUUCAAGUUGAUCAGCUUGUACUGUUCUCAUGCUUUAUUUUAUUCCUUUGAAAUGUUCAACUGUAAUUUCUUUUAAUAUUUAUUGGAGGAGGUGUGCAAGUCCAUCGAACAUUUCAUAGAGUAAAUGAAGCGCCAAAAGGUAUAAGAUGCAGAGACCACCUCAUAACCGAUUUCUUUUCCAAUUUAAACAUACCAAUCUACUCUAUUGUAACCAAAACUUUAAGACGCAAGGGACUGAUUGGAUGUUAGGCCAAAAAUUCCAUGAGAUUCAUGGGUUGGACCAGUAUAACCAUUAAAAGUAUUGGAUUUUAUAGAUUAGGAUAGAUUUAUAUUUACAAGUACUUGAGAUUAUCUUUUCAGUGAACUAGUUUGAAUCCCAUAGGGAUUAAAAAAUGACCUCAAAAGAUUGUUCUAGAUACUUAUAAAUAUUGGCAUAAUCCAACCUAUAAUUCAAUGCUUUGGUGGUUGAACUGGUCUAACUCAUGAAUUUCGUAGAAUCUUGAGCCCAACCAUCUAUAUAGACCCCAAGAGAUAAUACCUCCGUAAUCCUGAUCAUAUUGCUUUGGAUUUGAACAUAUAGCAUAAUAUGCUUUCCAAAUCCUCCACCAAACUGCUGUGGCUCUUAUGCCGGGAUUGCAUUGUGAUCUAGCUUAUACCAUUUUUUUUUUUUUUUGGUAAAAGGAUAAGCCUUUUAUUUAAAGCAAGAACUGUGGCAAUACAGGUACAAAAGAGGCCUGCAAAACAUGAACAACGAGCAGACCGAAGAAAGCAAUGAUGUAUUACAAGAUAGAAUGUAAAAAGGAGGUGCUAAGAAACAGUUUUGGCUAAAAGCUAUCCAGAACAAUAAGUAUAUCACUAAAAUAAAGAAGAGAAGCUGUGUAGAUGCAUGAACAGAAAAAAUCUCCACCCCAAAUGGAAAACACAACUGAAAUGAAGCAAUCUCAUCUCCAAGGGACUUAAAAAUCUGUUGCUGUGUAGAGCAAGAGUUACUCAAUUUUUGGACCAGCAUUAUAGGAAGCAGAUUGAGACACCCGAAUAUAUGAAGUUGAUGCCCGAAAGAAGGUAAAAAAGUGAAUGAUGAUGAUGAUGUAACGUAGGAGUAGAAAAAAACAACACCCAUGGCAGGACUCUGCCUUCUUACUUGAAGCUUUGUAUUGCAAUAGAGCAUCCAUUGCAAAGCAUGAAGUAGCAUAUUAAAUCAGGCAAACAAACCCACUGAGUGAAAAACCAAAUGGUCUUAAAAGUUGUCAGUAGGCCGUUGGAGAAAUAAAUGGAACCCCUCAUUGAUAAUGGCAGAAGAAAAAACAACCAAUCCAGAGAUACUGACAAAUGGAUUGAGCACAAUAACUUUAAAAUGAUAACUCUUGAUGUGCUAGAAAGAUCACAAGAACCGCUCUGCAUCAUAACACCAGUAGUUGAAUUGCCACCGAUAAUACUAGAAGCCAACUGCUGAUAUAAGUAUCCAAAAGAAGGCAUACAUAAGUACAGCAAUUGAUUCCCCAAGGGCCAACAGCCUGUGGAUGAAGAAAUGAAUAGCAUAGUAUUGUCGCUGAGAGAAUAAAAUUUGGCCAAGUAUAGAUCAGUUUAUGACCAUGCUGUGGAAGUAACAAGAUAGAUGAUAUUUUAACCGGAGAAAGCACGGAAGAGUGUGAGCCCGGAACCUGCAACCAUGAACAAAUAGGGUUACUAGCAAACUUCCUUUUUUU
rnacentral:lncRNA from 1 species